rnacentral:rRNA from 1 species
CAGGCUUAACACAUGCAAGUCGAGCGCGCUAUAGAGAGCUUGCUCUUUAUAGUGAGCGGCAGACGGGUGGGUAACGCGUGGGAAUCUACCUUAAGCUACGGGAUAACAGAGAGAAAUUUCUGCUAAUACCGUAUGUGGCCUUUGGGCGAAAGAUUUAUCGGCUUAAGACGAGCCCGCGUUGGAUUAGCUAGUUGGUAGGGUAAAGGCCUACCAAGGCGACGAUCCAUAGCUGGUCUGAGAGGAUGAUCAGCCACACUGGGACUGAGACACGGCCCAGACUCCUACGGGAGGCAGCAGUGGGGAAUAUUGGACAAUGGGCGCAAGCCUGAUCCAGCCAUGCCGCGUGAGUGAUGAAGGCCUUAGGGUUGUAAAGCUCUUUCACCGGUGAAGAUAAUGACGGUAACCGGAGAAGAAGCCCCGGCUAACUUCGUGCCAGCAGCCGCAGUAACAC